CGGGCCUGAAGCCCCAGAGCAGUGUCUGCAGCAGCUGCUGUCUCGACUCUGCGGUGGGCCCUGGCUGCAGACAAAGCCACUUCACAGGGUGGGCAGCGGCUGCCACCACCACGCAGCGGCUUCUCCCCAUCCUGCAGUCCUGUCCUCAAGUCAGGGAAGCAAACUGGAGAGGCAGGAGUGACGGCUCUGCUCCAGGGUCAUGCAGCACCGAGCGCUUCCAUCUCGCUUUCUGCGGUAGUGGUGUCUGUUUGGGAUGCUUGAUAAUUCUCUCAUUGUGGGAAAUUUCUCUCCGUCUGUGGAGCGCCCCCUUCCCCUUCCUUUGACCUCCUUAUCUCCAAAAAGCCUACCUAUGUCCUACCAUCUCUCCUUUAUUUUACUCUCAUUUAUUUAUAUUUUGGGUUUCUUUAAUAAGAGAAACCUUAUAAUAUUUAAUCUUCUGAGUCCGACUUAUUUCACUUAGCAUCACGGUCUACAAGUGACUUGAACUCAUCUUUCGAGCGUUUUGAUGAUCGCCCUUUCUUAGUGCCCCCUGGGCAAAGCACGAUGGCACCGCCCCCACCAGGCUCCCAAGCCGGGCACCUGAGGCCCCGCCAGCCGUGGUCGAAGCCAGUCUCAGCCACGCCUCCGGUGAUAGCAGACCUGGGGACAGCUUGACCUCACCCGCCAUGGAAGACCCUGCUGAGCACCCCGAAUCCCUGCCCGCAGAAACGGAAGCGACACUUCAAUUCUGGCAACCAGGGAGGAGGAACUCAGCCUUUAGGAAGAGACGACCGCCCUCUGGAGGGAAGGAGGGGAACUACAUGGGAGGCCUGGAGGAUUCCCCACCCCCACCCCAGCAAGGGGCAGAGCACGGCUGUGUGGAGAUCGAAUGAGAUGAACGCCCAGCUGGUCGCAAACGCUGCUGUGAUCGCAGGGACGCCGAUGCCGCCCGUGACCCUUACUUCUCCGUGAUAUGGGGACCCUGCCUAAGCAAGCUGUUUCUGGGAGUGACCACUCGGAUCCAUGUCGACAGACAAUCGCAAGACUCGUGGAGAAUCUGGGGACCGCAGAUAUACAAGCCCGAUUUGAGUGACAUCCUUGUGCCUGACCGGGCGCCCCUGGGGGACAGGAAAGGGACGCUGGACACCACCUGGGAGCCAGGAGCCCGGUUCCUGCGGGUAUCCCGGAGCCUGGAUGGCUCAGGGGCGCUUGGGGGCUGCUCCCGGAAACCUGCAGGUGUGAGGCCUCCGGGCCCGGCCC